UACGGGGGGAGCAAGCGUUGUUCGGAUUUACUGGGCGUAAAGGGCGCGUAGGCGCCUCCGCAAGUCGACUGUGAAAUCUCCGGGCUUAACCCGGAAAGGUCAGCCGAAACUGCGGGGCUAGAGUGCAGAAGGGGCGAACACUGGGAAUUCUCGGGUGUAGCGGUGAAAUGCGUAGAUAUCGAGAGGAACACCUGCGGCGAAGGCGGGUUGCUGGGCUGACACUGACGCUGAAGCGCGAAAGCUAGGGGAGCGAACGGG
rnacentral:rRNA from 1 species